rnacentral:rRNA from 1 species
UACGUAGGGUGCAAGCGUUGUCCGGAUUUAUUGGGCGUAAAGAGCGUGUAGGCGGCCGUACAGGUCAGCUGUGAAAACUCGAGGCUCAACCUCGAGACGUCGGUUGAAACCGUACGGCUAGAGUCCGGAAGAGGAGAGUGGAAUUCCCGGUGUAGCGGUGAAAUGCGCAGAUAUCGGGAAGAACACCCGUGGCGAAGGCGGCUCUCUGGGACGGUACUGACGCUGAGACGCGAAAGCGUGGGGAGCAAACAGG